AGCAGCCGCGGUAAUUCCAGCUCCAAUAGCGUAUAUUAAAGUUGUUGCAGUUAAAAAGCUCGUAGUUGAAUUUCGGGGUCAGUAGGUUGGUCGUGCCACCGGUACGUACUGGUCUCACUGAUUCCUCCUUCCUGAAGAACCGUAAUGCCAUUAAUUUGGUGUUGCGGGGAAACAGGACUGUUACUUUGAAAAAAUUAGAGUGUUUAAAGCAGGCUAACGCUUGAAUACAUUAGCAUGGAAUAAUGAAAUAGGACGAUCGAUCCUAUUUUGUUGGUUUCUAGGAUUGACGUAAUGAUUAAUAGGGAUAGUUGGGGGCAUUAGUAUUCAAUUGUCAGAGGUGAAAUUCUUGGAUUUAUUGAAGACUAACUACUGCGAAAGCAUUUGCCAAGGAUGUUUUCAUUAAUCAAGAACGAAAGUUAGGGGAUCGAAGACGAUCAGAUACCGUCGUAGUCUUAACCAUAAACUAUGCCGACUAGGGAUCGGAUGAUGUUAAUUUUAUAAUGACUCAAUUCGGCGCCUU
rnacentral:rRNA from 1 species